rnacentral:siRNA from 1 species
AAGCGGAUUAAGUAGUGCGAUGCG